UUAAAAACAUUGACGGGAACAAGAUGCAAAUGAACCGGCAAAGAGAGCUGACGGUUGGUGUGAGUCAGCAUGGAACAUUGUAUGGAUAGCUCAUCCCCGAGUUUUUCGUGUGAAGUGUAUAUACUAUAUAUAUGUAAUGCGAAACGCAAGACUGCGUUAUCGGUCGGGACUUUGUCAGAAGUCUUUAAGGAGAACACAGUGAUGUGUUCUUGAAUACGGGUGGUACCACGGAUUUUAUUCGUCCCUUUG
rfam:Ruminococcus sp. CAG:108 genomic scaffold, scf41